rnacentral:rRNA from 1 species
GUUGCCCUUCGUGUGCGGACCCUUUUUUGAGUAACACGUGAGAAAUCUGCCCUGUCCUUCGGUAUGCCUCGGGCCCUGAAGUUCAUACGGGAUACGAGUCGCUGAGGCAUCUGUCGCGGUGGACAAGAUUUAUCGGCCCAUUAUCCGCUCCGGGCCUAUUCGGUUGUUGCUGGGGUAACCGCCUUCCUGGGGGACGACUGGUAGCCGGCCUGAGAGCUUGACCGGGCUCUCUGGGACUGAGACACGGUCCAGACUCCUACGGCAGGCAGCCGUUGGGAAUAUUGCUCAAUGGGCGCAAGCCUGAUGCAGCGACGCCGCGUGAGGGAUGACGGCCUUCGGGUUGUAAACCUCUUUCAGCAGGGAAGAAGCGAAAGUGACGGUACCUGCAGAAGAAGCACCGGCUAACUACGUGCCAGCAGCCGCGGUAAUACGUAGGGUGCAAGCGUUGUCCGGAAUUAUUGGGCGUAAAGAGCUCGUAGGCGGUUUGCCACGUCUGCUGUGACAUCCCGAGGCUCAACCUCGGGCCUGCAGUGAGUACGGGCAGACUAGAGUGUGGUAGGGGAGACUGGUAAUUCCUGGUGUAGCGGCGGAAUGCGCAGAUAUCAGGAGGAACACCUGAUGCGAGUCAGGUCUCUGGGCCACUACUGACGCUGAUGAGCGAAGCAUGUCGGAAGCGAAACAGGCACUAGAAUACCCUGGUAGUGCACGCCGUAAUCGAUGGUCUCUAGCUGUCCGCCCGCCGUUGGACGUCUGGGUGGUCAAGCGAAAGUGAUAAGUGUCCCACCUGGGGAGUACGUUCGCAAGAAUGAAACUCAAAGGAAUUGACGGGGGCCCGCACAAGCGGUGGAGCAUGUGGUUUAAUUCGUUGAUACGCGAGGAACCUUGCCAGGGCUUGAAUGCAGUACGACAGGGGAGUAAACACCCCCUUCUUCGGACGCGCUACAAGGUGCACCAUGGUUGUGCUCAGAUCCUACCGUGAGGUGUCAGGUUAAGUCCUAUAACGAGCGCAACCCCUGCCGUUAGUUGCCAGCGAGUGAAGUCGGGAACUCUAGCGGGACUGCCGGUGCAAACCGUGAGGAAGGUGGGGAUGACGUCAAAUCAUCACGGCCCUUACGCCCUGGGCCACACACGUGCUACAAUGGCAGGCACAAUGGGCAGCCACGCCGCAAGGCGGAGCGAAUCCACAAAACCUGUCUCAGUUCGGAUCGGGGCCUGCAACUCGGCCCCGUGAAGCUGGAAUCGCUAGUAAUCGGAUAUCAGCCAUGAUCCGGUGAAUACGUUCCCGGGCCUUGUACACACCGCCCGUCAAGCCAUGGAAGCCGGAAGCACCUGAAGUCCGUCCCGCGAGGGAGCCGCCUAAGGCGAAAGUA